CUCCACUUAAUAUUUGAGAGAUAUGAAGCUCAGCAAGAUCAAGAAACGUGCCUGACUACCAAAAUCCUGUGCAACCUGCCCCACACGUGGGCUCAACUCCAGUAGAAGCUGAAGUGUGUACCUGAGGUCUAAGUAAGAACAUCACUGCUGCCCUUGCCAGUGGGCAUUCCUGCCCCCUGGACUGUGGUCACUUGGAAGGAAAGACUGUGCAUUGCAUGUCGGUUUCUCAGUAAUUGAGCAAAGCAUCUGUCACAGAGAGGAAGAGGAAAACUCUUAGAAGGCUGAAUAGAAACAUGUGAAACCCUGAAAGCCUAAGCAUAAUCUCACUUCUGCCCAUGUUCCAUU
rnacentral:lncRNA from 12 species